CCAAGGGCCGCGCCGGGGUUCUGCACUGUCACUGCGCUGCGGUUCCCCGCCCUAGGGAUUCUCACACGGUUCCACGGCUCCGGGCCCGGCAGCACCGCAGCCAUCUUGCGAGGCGGGGUGACUUAAGAAAGACGGAGCUACGCGAGAGCACGUCGAGCGACCGGAGUCUGGAACAGUUCCUCCUUCUUUCUCUGGCUCUGGAUCUGCAUCCCUGACAGUCUUAAAGAGGACAGACCUUUCAUUCAUGAGGAUGACCCUCAACUUGGCCCAGUCGAUGUUUCCUCAGACUCAAGCCUUGCAUUCUUGGCAGAAAGACUGAAGAAAUGAUGCUGUGCUCUUCUCAGUGCUUCACGUCAGGAGGCUCUACUCUCUCAACUGGCCCCACUAUUGACGCAGUCUCAUCCUGUCACCCGGGCUGGAGUGCAAUGGCGCGAUCUCGGCUCACUGCAACCUUCACCUCCUGUGUUCAAACGAUUCUCCUGCCUCAGCCUCCCAAGUAGCUGGGAUUACAAGCACCUGCCACCAUGCCCAGCUAAUUUUUGUAUUUUUAGUAGAGAUGGGGUUUCACCAUGUUGGCCAGGCUGGUCUCGAACUCCUGACCUCGUGAUCCGCCCACCUUGGCCUCCCAAAGUUCUGGGAUUACAGGCGUGAGCCACUGUGCCCUGCCGAGACUGUUAAGAUUUUAUUGCCCUAGUACCAGCAGUUACAAUGUUCCAUAGAACUCAUAGCUGAGCCCAUGCCAGGGAUUCCCCAGCUCACUGAAG
rnacentral:antisense_RNA from 1 species